AACAUGUUAGACCCACGUUCCACAUACACUGCCAUCCAGCGGGGUGGAUGCCAGUUCAUACAGCGUUUACACACCUCGGUUAUGUAAGCCACAGUGUAUCCUGCGAUCAGCAAAAAGUUCUACGAAAAAGCAAAAAGUGAACCGGGAGUAUUAUGGGUUUUUUUUUUUUUUUUUUACUACUACGCGACUACAAAAAAUCCGCAUCGACCGCCCUUUAUGCAAAUCUAGAAAACUCCAUCCAUACUGUUCCGACCCCGAAAACGAGAUCAUUAUUUCCACUUCGAACCCGUACUGUACCGCAAUGUGUUUUUUUUUUGUUUUGUUUUUUUUCAUCAAUUUUUUCUUUUAUUCGUUAAUUUUUCAAAGCUCUUUUCGUCACUGGAAUCACUCACUGCAGCCAUUGGCUGUAACCAUCCCAUGACCACCCAAGUUUUAUUUACAGUAACAGCACCGCACUUGUCUUAAAUGAGCCCUCCGGGUUCUUUGCCCCUCUCCACUAGUACCGACAACCAUCUUGCGCUUAUGGUUUGCGAACGUGCGCAAUCAUCAAGCGGAGGUAGCUCUCGCGUAGCCGAACAGGGACCCGACGAAGGAACGGGUUGACAGCAGCCACCGCAUCUUUUGUUUUAAAUCAUAAAAAUUGAAAACAAAACAAUUAUUUUUUUCCAGUGUUGAAAAAGAAUAUUCGGAGAACCAGCAAGCCAAUUUUCCAAAUUAACACGUGAAAUUAGGUAAU